rnacentral:ncRNA from 1 species
UAAUGGUAGAGGUCGCGUGAGUUAAGAGUAAUCUGCAGGAUGUGGCAGGCACAGGAGAAUGCAGGUGAAAGGGAUGAGCGCCGAAGGGAAUGGAAGCUGCGUUCCAUUUUCUGGGCAUAGGGAUAAGAUCCGUAUGACUGUCAACUGUGACUGCGUGAGCGGUUGCCGAGUGAGUUGGAGAGCUAUCAG